rnacentral:misc_RNA from 1 species
AGACCACUGCUGUUCUAGAUGGUGUAUACACCAUGAAGGACCGAGGCCGGUUAUCAUACCACCCUUCAGAGCUGAAGUACUCUGCAUUAUGAUUAAGCCUGCCGAAGCCUCCAAACAAGGGAUCAUCUGAAUCCAAGACAAUCUUGUACUUUCCUGGCUUUAAGCAGCCAACUCGGUAAUCUGAAUAGCUGCUAGUCCAAUGAAAAUUGAAUACAAAAACCAGGUU